rnacentral:lncRNA from 1 species
AGCCUGAAACUGUGGACCCGCUAAUUGCCUUAAUCUUAAACCUAUAUUAAGCAUACUUAAAUAACUUAUAGAAUUACAUGUAAAUUUUGAAAGAUAAGUUAUAUGUGAUCUGCAGAGCAAUAAUGCCUUUUUCUAUUCAUUGAAUCAAGGACAAAAUUCAUUUUUUCAAAGUUAAAAAGCUCUCUUGUGAACACUGCAGCCAUAUUUUCCAAAAAGUACAAAGGUACACAUUUACCUGUCACUCAGUGAAAUAUAUGAAGUACUGAAUUGCAAUGUGAAAUUAAUGACUUCUGUUUACAAACGAGACACUUCAAAAAUUUUUCACCGUCUCUCCGUAUGCCUUUGCGUACAUCCAAGAUCCCACCCCCAGAAAGCCAAAUGCAAUGUAAACUGUCCUGAUGAAAAAUGGUCAUGUCUUUUUUUCUUAACUAAUAAUUCUUUAUCAAAAUGCUUCAUGUUAUCUCAAUUUACUUUUUAAAAUAGUUGACUUUAUAUUUUAGAAGUUUUAAAUUUAUAGAAAAAUUGUGAAGAAAGUACAGAGAGUUCCCACAUAAGCCUGCACACAAUUUUCCCUGUUACUAGUAUCUUACACUCACCACAAUUAAUGAACCAAUACUGGUAGGCCAUGCUUUAUUCAGAUGUCCUUAGUUUUUUUCUAAUAUCCUUUUUCUGUUCCAGGGUCCCAUUCACGAUAUACCACAUUUUACUGGGUUGUCACAUCUCCUUAGAUUCCUCCCAGCUGUGACAGUUUCUCAGACUUUCCUUGUUUUUGAUGACCUUGACAGUUUUGAAGAGUACUGGUCAGAUAUAUUGUGGGAGGCACCUCUGUUGGAAUUUGUCUGAUAUUUUUCUCGUGAUUACACUGGGAUUAUGGUUUUGGGGGAGGAAGAUUACAGAGGUAAAGUGCCAUUUUUAUCACAUCAUAUCAAGGGUGCAUACUGUCCACAUGAUUUGUGAAUGUUGAUGUUGACCUUGAUGACCUCACUGAGGCCGUGUUUGUCAGGUUUCUGCACUAUAAAGUUACUCCUUUCCCUCCCUUUCCACACUGUAGUCUUUGAAAGGAAGUCAGUCUCUGUACAGCCCACACUUAAGGAGUUGGCGCUUAUGCUGCUUCUUCUUUGAGGCAGAGCAUCAGCGUGAAUUAUUUGGAAUUCCCCUGCCUGGGAGGGUUGUCUCUUCUGCCUCAGAUUCACUGUUAGGCUUUGAAAUUCAGGGAGAAGGAGCCAUACAUUGAUUGCUUCACGAGAGGUUGGGUUAAUAGGUGUAAUCAGAAGAAAAAACGGUGAUGUUAUGGUUUAUUUGCUGUCAGUAUGUUCAAUAGAUAGACUCUCUAUAUCCCCAAUCAUGAUUACUUUUUAGAAAUUGUCGUUUUAGAAAAGGUGUUUGAGAAACCAUUCAAGAAUCCAUCAGGACUGUACUCUAAAAUAUUUACUGAAAUAAUUUUCAGUUAAAAAAAAGCCCCAGAGGGGUUUUGUUAAAAACAUUGCUUAAAAAUAUUUACCUAGGUCAAUCUUUAAAUAAUUCAAAGAAAUGGCCAAGUUUUUCUUUUUUAAACUGCAUUCCAAAAUCUAAAUGGAUAUGUUUUAUUUGGGACAAUUAUUCAUUCAUGUUUAUGAAGGAAAACAAAUCUUGUUUUCCUUAUAAGGAUGAACUCUGUAUAUUAAGGAAAAUAGUGUUUAAUCCUUAUUUUUUUAAGACAAAAGUAAGACUCAAGGUUCUUGUCAAAUUUGCCUUUAUGUACUCAUUACAAAUUCUGUUUUACUUUAUUGACAUAUGUAAUGAAAGAAGUCCAUUUAUCAGCAGAACUGUUCUAAAUGAGAAGGAAAAAGGGGUGUUCUGGUUGUUAAUCUGCUCAGCAAAUAUUCCUUCAUAAUUUUUGAAAAGGAUGUAAAACAGCCUUUUAAUAGGAAUAUUGGUAUGAGGUAUUUUUUCCUUCAGAAUUCAUAGUCUGAAGAAGGAGAUAAUCGUGAGUGUAGCAUAGGCAAAAUUUGGGUUUUAGUCCAUUUGCUUAAUAGAUAUCACGGCCUUAGAAUUUUCUACCUUUCGGUUGCCUCACAAGAUGCUUGACUGUAGUGCUGUAUUGUUUAAGCAUAUUUAGCCACUCACAAGUGAUCAUCGCGUCAAGGUAUUUGAAACUGGACUGGUGCCUUAUUUUAACGGACAAAGUCAGCUGUUAUAUUCCACGUUAAAAGCAAAGCAAAAACAAAAACUCUACGUGAUAUUCUCAGAAAAAAUCCGAAAGACUAGUAGCAAGUGUUAGUAUUUCAGACCAUUAAAUGUUUGAGUAUUGAAAGUCUGCUCGUAAACUAGACUUCCUACUAUUAUGAUGGACAUAGGGAGAAGGAAGUGAAAUUAAGGUGAGUUCUGAAAUAAACAAAAGUAUUAUCUUCUGCUAGGUUCGUAUUUUCUAUUAGAGCUAAACCAAAUAUUUGUAAACUCCCCUGCUGUUUGAAUUUUUUUUUUUCAAAGAAAUGACACCUGUUCUACAAAAGAAUUGUAUAAACAAAUAACACCUUUGGCUUUGGGAUGUGGUCUUCAUGUGGCCUCUAAACAGUCACGGUCUCCUGCAGCCCACUCCAGCUUUUCUCCUUUUGCCCUUAGAUAUCACAUCCGUGGUAUUUCAGGGAUAGAAGAGCAGUGUGUGAAUCUAGGAGCUAUUUUUUGUUAAGUGGAAGUGUUGUUAAGUGUUACAUUUGAUGGUUACCUACUUUAGCAUAUUUUAGAAAGGCACCAAAAUAUAGCAUGAUAAUUUUUUGAUUAAAAAUUAAUAACUUACCCAUUUAGGAAAUAUUUAUUGACUCUUUGUACUGAUCAUAUGCAAGUACAGUAGCUGAGGAGGUAGGCAAAUAAAAUAAUCGACCUGCUCUGAAUGAACCAAUUAAAAGGAAAAGGAAUUGCAAAUAAUAGUAAUAAUAAUAAUAUAUUUUGCUUAGAAGUUAUUAGCCCAAGGUUCUAACACCCAAAAAAGGGCCUUUUAAAGCUGCUUAAUCUAAAACAUGCUCUAAGUCUAGAACCAUAGUACUGUUUGUAAUUUCAUUAACUUUCUUUCUCUGUUAUUAUACAAAGUAUAAUAAUGCUGCUAUCUAAGAUAUCUACUUUUAAGGGACAGAUUCAGAGACUCUUAGAAACUAAGUGUCCUUGUUUGUUGGAUUCUCUGUCACCACGAUGCCCAGUCUUUUCACCAGGCAGCACUGGGCUCUCUAUAAUGGAACGAGGCUCCUUUGCAAAACUUAGGGCCACUUUACUCAGUUUAGGAUUAACAGAGGGUGUGGAGGCACGUCCAUGGGAAUCUGGUUGUUACUGUCUUUAUCUUGAUAACAGCUUUCUCUCGAAAUAGUCCCUCCCCCUUUUAAAUUAAAACUGUAUGUGACAGUGCUGUUGUUAGGAUUAUAGGAUCCACAAAUGCUAAUGAAUUAGUUGUUUCUUAAAUAAGGUGAAGAAGUAGACUCCUGAUCAAGAGGAGAAAACUGUGAAUAUUCUUACGAUCAGUAGAUCUUCCUUCUCUUCUAGAAAAUCUGGAUUUUCAUGAAAAGAUUAUUUUCAUGAAUAAAUUUUCUAAUGCAAAUUCCAUUUUGUUUAACAUAAAGAACUUUGAUUCUGGGUAGAUAUUAGUAAAUCAGAAUAUAAAUUUAAGAAUGUAAAAUGAAUACCCAUAUCUAAUUUUCCCCCAAGCACUUCUUAUUACUGGACUUAGUUUUUACAAACUCUGUGUCAGUACUGACAUCUUUCCUGUGUCAAGCCCAGAAAUUUGUUCAGUCUGUUUCUUAAAGCUUGUUUAAGAGACAGAAUUGUUUUGAACAAACCAGUUAACAUUUUGAUUUGGUCAAGAUAGAGAAUUAUGUAUAUUUAGAAAGAAGCAUAUUUUAUUUUGAAAAUAAUAGGAUUUUGUGCAAUAUUUUUUCCUGCAUAAUUUAGUUCAUAUAAAUAUGCACAUCUGCUUUUCCAGCAGAUGCCUUAAGGUCAUAUUUUUCAGUAUUUGUGUAAAACUGUAUGUAGCAAUGUUCUAUGUGAUUUUAGAAAAAAGUGUUCUUUAUAAUGUUGCCAGAAGGAAUGUUUUUGUUUAUUUAAAAUAAUUAUGGGUAUUGCAUUAUUGUAUCAUAACUAACUGCCUCAGCAACAGUAAAUAUGCAAUAAGAAAAUCCUGAACCUUAGAUUAGUAUUAACAAUGUUGUUACUUUAAAAGAAAUGUAUAUAGGGCAAAAUGCUGAUUCUACAUGUGUACAUUUAACAAAUGCUCAAUCUGUACCACGUAAAUCCAAACGGCCUUUGUAUGGUGAUGACCACAUAUGCAGAUUGUAACAUCCUUUGUGAUGAACCUUUGGUAAGAUUUAUAAAGGGCAUUGCCAACACUUUUUGACUGUCUGUAACUAAGUUAAUUUUUGUAUAAUGUACAGUUUGUUUAACCUUAGAGCUUCUAUAGAUUUCUACUUUUAUUAUACUUGAAUGAGGCAGAAAAGCACUGUGGAAAAUCUGUAGCUCUGGAUGCGAUAUGCAAAUAUACCAAAAAAAGAAACCAAGGUACUGAACAGCAGUGUUAACUGGAUGCUUUCCAUCCAGAAAGCUGUGUUUUUUCAAACCAUACUUUAGUUAAGUGAAGUAAUUUAAAAUACACAAUCUUUUAUCUUAAAAGGUUGCAGAGUCACAAAUGAUUACCUCUUUGACAUGAUACACCUCUAAGUCUCUUCGUCUCUUUGUGAUUUCAUUUCUCAGAGCCAUGUUGAGGUACCUUAACAAAUCCACCCUCUGGUUGAUUAUGUGAUGUUUAGGACAGGACAGAAUUAGAACUCUGCACAUGCUAAAUGCACCACGUAUGUCAAGUCACCAUCCUUCAGAUAGUAUAACGUCCAUAUGGUUAUUUUGAGAACCAUUUAAUAAUCAUCUACCAAAAAUGAGAUUUCUUGAAUCUAUUAUGAUUUAGUACUUAAUCGCAAUGCCUAAAACAGCUGACAAGUAUGAACUGCAUGGAGCCUACAAUUUAAGAUGUAUAAAGCUUUUUUACAUAUGAGGUACAUGAAAGGUUCAAAAUUGAGCUUUUCCAAAGCUUAUUUCUUUUGCUUUAAAUGAAUACCUGUUUAAAAGGACUGAAAACCUUGAGCUUUUUUGCUAGACAUGGUGACAGAUAUCUGCAAAAACCUACCCAGCAUUGAGAUUUGCUUUCUUAUUCUUGCAUCCUUGAGGCUACAGUAUAAAUCAUCUCUGAAGUUGACUACUAUUGGGAGGACAUUGUGUAUAAAAAUAUUGCUUUGGAAAUUUAAAAAGUAUGCAAAAAUAAAUAAUGGGUGAACUACACAUUACCAUAAAGUGCCCAACAAUGCAGUUAUAAAAUAAAAUUGGUCAUAAGCAAAA